CCUACGGGAGGCAGCAGUGAGGAAUAUUGGACAAUGGGCGCAAGCCUGAUCCAGCCAUGCCGCGUGCAGGAUGACGGUCCUAUGGAUUGUAAACUGCUUUUGCACAGGAAGAAACAACAUUACGUGUAAUGUCUUGACGGUACUGUGAGAAUAAGGAUCGGCUAACUCCGUGCCAGCAGCCGCGGUAAUACGGAGGAUCCAAGCGUUAUCCGGAAUCAUUGGGUUUAAAGGGUCCGUAGGCGGUUUAGUAAGUCAGUGGUGAAAGCCCAUCGCUCAACGGUGGAACGGCCAUUGAUACUGCUAAACUUGAAUUAUUAGGAAGUAACUAGAAUAUGUAGUGUAGCGGUGAAAUGCUUAGAGAUUACAUGGAAUACCAAUUGCGAAGGCAGGUUACUACUAAUGGAUUGACGCUGAUGGACGAAAGCGUGGGUAGCGAACAGGAUUAGAUACCCUGGUAGUCCACGCCGUAAACGAUGGAUACUAGCUGUUGGAAGCAAUUUCAGUGGCUAAGCGAAAGUGAUAAGUAUCCCACCUGGGGAGUACGUUCGCAAGAAUGAAACUCAAAGGAAUUGACGG
rnacentral:rRNA from 1 species